UACGAAGGGGGCUAGCGUUGUUCGGAUUUACUGGGCGUAAAGCGCACGUAGGCGGAUCGUUAAGUCGGAUGUGAAAACCCGUGGCUCAACCACGGGCCUGCAUCCGAUACUGGCGGGCUCGAGGCAGGCAGGGGAGAUCGGAAUUCCUGGUGUAGCGGUGAAAUGCGCAGAUAUCAGGAGGAACACCGGUGGCGAAGGCGGAUCUCUGGGCCUGUCCUGACGCUCAGGCGCGAAAGCUAGGGGAGCAAACAGG
rnacentral:rRNA from 1 species